rnacentral:piRNA from 1 species
UCCAUUCUGAAUGUAGACUGCCUAGAUUUA